GUUUACCAACUUUCCCCAGUCCAAAAUAUUUUAAUGGACUGUACACUGUAAUUCCAGCACAAAGUAAAGGAGGAAGAGAAUCAAGUGGUACAUUGUUAGGAAUUCGAAGGAUGUAAUGUUCAUUAACAACUACAUGAUCAGAAAAACCUCCAUAAGUGAUUUUGCCAUCCAGGUGAAUAGAAUUGUAGGUGAAUAUCAUUUCGGGACAAUAAUUUUCAAGGUCAUUGACACAAUUCUCACAAGAGUGGCAUGCACCAACAAUACAGCCAACGCCGACUUUAUCACCAAUUUUGACCUUCUUCACCUUGUUCCCAACUUCUGUCACUUCUCCAACAAUUUCGUGUCUGCAAGCAGUGAAUCCGUUAAAAGCAUCGAACUGUUCUCAUGAUAACAAGUAGUAGCAUGUUUAGAGGCAAGAAUUUAAAGUUAGAAGUUGGCAUACCAACGGAUAUAUACGCAUAUGUAACGAAAAUAUACAUAUACAUAAUAUAUAUAUCCAACACAAAAGAGAUAAUUGUGAUAGAUAAGCUAUUCUCAUUAUGCGAAAUACCGGCUAGCGUGACCAUCCAAAUCUUGUUUAGUUAGAUGUUUGAUGAGAUUGAGAUAGUUUUAGUCCUUAACAAACCAAAAGAAAAGAUCACAAGGUUAUAAUUACCCGGGAACCAUAGGGUACACAGCAGUUUCCCAGAUAUUUUUUGUUAUGCAAAGAUCUCCAUCGCAGAUUCCACAAUACAACACCUUUACCCUCACGUCUUCCUCGCCUGUUCCCCUGCAUUGCAAUUCAAUAUGUACACAUAUCACGCAUCACCUACGCGUAUACAUAUAUGCGUAUGCACAAGUGUAUAUUUUCGAACAGUGUGAAGAGAAACGAAUUGGGAAAAGGGCCAAUGGCAGAGUUUGCGAAAGGGUACCUUCUGGAGAAGUUGAAGGGAGAGAGAUGACCGGAAGAGUCUCUCGCUGCCCAGCCAUAUGCCUUAAUAGGGUACUCUGUUUCUGGUGAGCGCUCUGCCAUUUUCUUUUUCUUGAACUAGAAAAACAAGAGAGCCAAGUAUGAGCGCUGUACCUCCCUCGGAAAUAUAUACAUAUCUAUGUCUUUGGGUUCAUAUAUAUAGAAUUUAUUAUUAUUAAAAGUGUAAAUAGAUUGAAUUUAUUAUUAUUAUUAUUAUUACUGCUAUUAUUAUUAAUACAUAUUCACGUGGGCUGGUCCACCAUGCAUGGUACAACUAUAUAUAUAUAUAUUCAUCAUUAUUUUAUACGAUUAAUUCCUGAUCAUUAAUCACCAAAUCGUAACCGAGCUCAUAUUUUAUUCGUUAUGGUUGUGGAAGCCUGCAGCUUCCUAGCUGUUUCAAUAAAUUUGCUUUGCAGUUAGUUUAUUUCUAUUUUAUUUUUAUUUAAUUACUGAAUUUAAUAAUUAGAGUAAACUGCUCGUAUUUUAUUAUUAAAUUCAAUAAUUAAUUAAUAUGCAGAUAAGACGUGCUUAUUUUUUUAUUGAUUAUGAUUAUGAAAGUCUGUAAUGUGAUAAUUUAAUUCUAUAUUUUUUUUUAAAAAAAAAUCAUUUUUAAAUGCAAUAUGAUAUAUAUUAUUUUAUUUUAUUCAAAAUAAAUUUUAAAUUUCUAUUUUAAACUUUGCCACAGUCAUCUAAUAUUGAUAUCAUUACAUAAAAUCAAAAGAUGUAGACGCAGAUGCGCAUGGCUAAGUGGCUAGAGCUUCAACUGAUCUGGAUGUGUUGAAAUAUUAUUUCUCUCCCUCUCUCCCGAUGUGUAUCAUGUAUAUAUAUUUGUAUGUGUGCGAUGCACCCUUGUUACCUAGAAGGCCUCAUUUUGUUCUUUCGCCCUUACGUACUUAUGCAUACAUAUAGAGUCAAGUAAAUCCCCUCUUUGAAUCAAAAUAAAUAAAGCAAAAUGGGAUUGUCACCGGAAGAAGAACAUCCUGUUAAGGCCUUUGGCUGGGCAGCAAGAGACUCUUCUGGUCAUCUCUCUCCUUUCAACUUCUCAAGAAGGUGAUCCUACUCCCCCCCAUCUCAUAAUUCUUACUUUCCUUUUCUUUCUGUUUAGGUGUAUUAACCUUUUCUUCUUUGAUAAUGUAGUCUUAGAGGAACACGUUAUCAACCAUUUGAUCUUGGGCUUUUUAGUUUAGUUCUCGACGAGAAAAAAUCUAUAAUUGUAUAAAAUAUGUACAGUUGAUUGAUUACAUAAGUUUUUGUGAGCAGGGAAAGUGGUGAGGAGGAUGUGAGGCGAAAAAAUCUAUAGUUAUGUCGUUCGAUUUCCUGAUAAUAUAUUACUUCAUACUGCUCCACCUUUACUAUGUGCUGGAAUUACAGUAUACAGUCCAUUGAAAUACUUCAGACUUGCAGAAUCAGAAAAGCAUGUUGGUAUUGUAGGCCUCGGUGGCUUAGGUCAUUUAGCUGUUAAAUUUGCCAAAGUAAUGGGGGCCAAAGUUACUGUCAUCAGUAGCUCACUUAGUAAGAAAAUUGAUGCCUUGGAACGUUUAGGUGCUGAUUCUUUUUUGCAUAGUAGUGACCACGACGAAAUGCAGGUAUAUAUAUAUAUAUAUAUCUAGUUAUAUAUGUUAAUUAUUGAUGAAAAAUUUUAUUUAAAUCACUGAUCUAUGGAUAUAAAUGUUGGACGCGCAGGCUACGAUGUUAGAUAUGUGGUUGACGUUUCUGUUUCUCAUCCUAUCACACCAUUAAUUGACCUACUCAAGUCUCAUGGACAACUUGUCUUAGUGGGUCCAGACAACUCACUAGAAUUACCAACCUUACCUUUGACGAAAGGUAAAUGCAUAUAUAUAUACAUAUGAAAAAUAUUGCAUGCAGAUAAAAUGCUUAUUAAAAAAGCUAUUUUAAUCUAGAACUGGUAAUUAAAAAGAAUUAAUCAUUAAGAACAUACUUAAACUAAUUACUUAUUUUCGGACAAAUGAUACCAAAUUAACUCCAAUAUAUUCCAUACAUAUUAUCAAUAAAUGUUCAAAACUAAUAUUCAUACACUCGCUGAAUGCAUGUGACAAAACAGGAAGAAAAACUGUAGCUGGUAGUGCAUACGGAGCAACAUAUGAGAUUCAAGAAAUGAUUGAUUUUGCAGCAAAACACAAUAUAAAUGCAGAUGUUGAGGUUAUUUCAGUAGAUUAUCUUAACCAGGCUACAGAACGACUCGCUAAAGCUGAUGUUAGAUAUCGAUUUGUGGUUGACGUUGGCAAUACCUUGUCUUCUAUAAAUUCCACAUUUAACUAAGGAUCCUAGCAUGUUCCUUAGUUUCUGUAAUUCUUUGGAAACUUUUUCAAAGCUUUUCGCUUUAUUGUUAUGCAUCCUAAAACUGAUAUUAAAUAUCGAUUUGUGAUUGACGUUGGCAAUACCUUGCCUUCUACAAAUUCCACAUUUAACUAAGGAUCUUAGCAUGUUCCUUAGUUUUUGUAACUCUUUGGAAACUUUUUCAAAAUUUUUCGCUCUAUUGUUAUGCAUCCUAAAACUGAUGUUAAAUAUCGAUUUGUGGUUGACGUUGGCAAUACCUUGGCUUCUACAAAUUCCACAUUUAACUAAGGAUUUUAGCAUGUUCCUUAGUUUCUGUAACUCUUUGGAAACUUUUUCAAAAUCUUUCCCUCUAUUGUUAUGCAUCCUAAAGUUAAUGUUAAAUAUCGAUUUGUGGUUGACGUUGGUAAUACUUUGCCUUCUACAAAUUUCAUAGUUAACUAAGGAUCUUGGCAUAUUCCUUCUUUCUUAGAACUUUUUGAAAAUUUUUUUAAGUUUCUAUUGACAAUGUCAUGCAUCUUUUGUGAACAUUUUGAAACUUUUAAUUACAUGUAAUAAUAAAAAUUAAAUUAUUUUUAUGACAUAAUUACUUUUAAAUUUAAAAAUUUUCUAAUUUAAAAAUAAGAAUCGUCGUCACAACGUGCAAAUGAUACCACUCAGUUAACCUUAAUUAAAUAUAUCAUACCAUUUAAAUUUCGAAUCAUAUAUAGCCUCUAUUUUUCAUUUUUUAAAAUUUUGUAUGGACUACUCGUUUUUAUUAAAUAUUUAUUCAUCACGGGAUGGUCAAAACCAUGAAAUANNNNNNNNNNNNNNNNNNNNNNNNNNNNNNNNNNNNNNNNNNNNNNNNNNNNNNNNNNNNNNNNNNNNNNNNNNNNNNNNNNNNNNNNNNNNNNNNNNNNNNNNNNNNNNNNNNNNNNNNNNNNNNNNNNNNNGAUUCUUUACGGGUUUGAUUUUUAAUGUGUGGGCUUAAUGUGGGGUUUAGUAUGUAUAUCAGGCUGUCAAUUUAAUGGACUCGUUUAAACUGAUCAAAUAUGAUUGAACAAUAUUGGAUCUUAAUAGAUCGAGUUUAAGUAUGAACUUAUAAUGUGCAGAUACUAUUUUUGUAAUAUUCUCAUUUCUAUGAUGGACGAAAUGAAAAUUGCAAAACUUAGUCGAUAUAAAAGGCGAUUAUGAUCCCCGAAUCAAAAGACUGUCAUUUUAUUUUUCUGAAAUUCCGUCACCAGAAAAGCUAGUUUCAAUGCGCCGUAUUGAUUUGGAAGAUCCUACCGCCGAACGUGAACAAAUCUUCUGCGAUAGAUUCAGAUACACUUACGAUUAUAUUUCUCUUUAAUUUAGUACAAUUAUGUAUAUUUAAUUUUAUAGAUCUACGAAUUUGAAAAGAAAUAUUAUUCUAACAAUUAGUAUCAGAGCCAUUUAUCGUAUCGAAUGUUUUAAGAAAGUUUUAUUUUUGUUUUUUAUUUUGUAAUUUUAGAUUUUAGAUUCAAAACUUUAGAUUUUGGAUUUGUUUUUGUUUAGUUGAAUAAAUAUAUAUAUAUAUAUGCAAAAAAUUAAGAAACAUAUAUAUUAAGAAAUUAAGUAUUGUAUAUGUAUAUAUAUAUUUUAAGCAUGUAUGUAUAUAUAUAAAAAUAAAAAAUAAAUAAAGCAGCGGCCGACCGCCACUACAUGAAGAAGAAAAUUCGGCAGUUUACAACCAUUCGGCUAUUAAAUUUAGUCCAUAACGGCUAAAUUAAAUUUAGUUUAAAAAUAUUUAAAAAGCAACCCUUACAGAUUGCAUGAAUUUAAUUUACUAUUUAAUUUUUUGUUUAAAAUUAAAAGGGUGAGGGUUUUGGAUUUGAUGGGUUGUUUAUGUUUAAAUUUUAAAAAUUAUAAUUAUGUGGGCUUGGAUUACAAUAAGAGAAAAGAUCGAAUCUGCUGGCCUAAAAUUCAGGCCCGUUUAGGAUGGGCCAACUUGGUCUAGACUCAACUCGGCAUGGACCCGACGGGUGUUGACCCAACCCAAUCAACAGUUAACAGUUGAUCAGUCAAUGGUCAACGGUUGACGAUCGACACUUGACUGGUCAACGGUUAAAGUUGACUUCGACUAGUCAAUAAUUAACCCUUGAAAAUAUAUAUAUAUAUAUAUUAAAGAGUAUUUUUUUAUUAUUUUAUAGUUGAUUUUCUUCAUAAUUUAGUUUAAAUUUGGUUUUAAUUUUGAAUUUUAAUAUUACUAUGUGUAUAUACAUAUUAAAAUAACUUAAUUAACAUAUGUCACCAAAGUAAUAUCUCUUGUGGAUUAUUUAUUUAUUUUAUAAUGUAAAUAGUUAUAUGAGUGUAAUUUAUAUAAAUGUUAAUCGGCCCAAAGAAAUGUUAAUAUUUAACAUUAUUGCAUUCCAUUUUUGAGGUAAUAAAUAUGUGAUAAUUAUUCAGUAUGAUAUGUGAACUUUAAAUCAACCCAAAGGAAUGUUUAUUAUUUGAUAUUUCUCUACUGUCUGUAUUUAAUUACUGUUACAGGGUACCACUUACAAGUUAAUAUUCGGUUUAAAGAUAGAGAGUUAAUGGAGUGUUCGGUAUCUUGAUAUGGAAAUAUACAUUUAUUUAAAAUUUAUUAUUAAAUUUUAUAAUUUAUAGUUUUAUGUGAGUAUUAAUUUAUUUAUUUUUGUAUGUUCUCUGUUUAACUUCCUUUUUUACUGGAAGUAUCACCACAAAUGUUAAUUCAUUUCCAAUGUUGAACAUCACAAAUUUCAAGCAAUUGAAGAAUAAUGUUCAACUUGUGCUUGAAGUUAUGGAUCUGGAUUGGGCUUUACGGGUUGAUCAACCCGAUCCAAUUACUCCUAACAACACUCAUGAGGAAAAGAAAGAGUUUGAAGGAUGGGAUCGAUCAAACCGUAUAAAUAUGUUGGUUAUGAAACAGACCAUUCCAGAGUUUUUUUAGGCACUAUGUCCGAUGAGGUCACAAUAGCUAGAGAUUUUAUGCAUUCUCAAGAAUAACAAUUCUCCAGAAGUGAUACGGCUGAAGUAUGUAUAUUUCAUUCUGACUUUUGUUUCCAUUAGGUAUAAGGGAAAUAGAGACAUUAGAGAGCACAUAAUGGAGAUGUCACAUGUGCAUGCAAAGCUCAAAGCACUUAGAGUGAAAUUGUCAAAAGAAGUAUUUGUGUACUUUGUUUUAAUUUCUCUUCUACCAUAAUUUAAUCAUUUUAAGGUGACAUACAACUAUUAGAAAGAAUCAUAAAAUCUGAAUGAACUCAUUUCACGUGUGUUCAAGAGGAAGAAAGACUCAAGUCUGAGAGGACAGAGAGUGCUCAUUUAGAAGUGAUCUCCAAAAAUAAAAAGAACAAUAAAAAGCAAACAGGUAAAUCUAUUGGGGUUCCAAUACAAUAUAAGAAGCAACAAAAGGCUUAGAUUGAAAAUGUUUGUUUCUUCUAUUAAGUUCCGAGACAUUAGAAGAAGCAAUGCGCUAACUAUAAUGUGUGGUGCACAAAGAAAUGUAUGCUUCUUAAUUUUGUUUGAUUUGAGGUUAAUUUAACUUUUGUAUCAAUACACACAUAGUGGAUAGAUUCUAGUGCCACAAUUAAUAUCAAUGUCUCUAUGUAGUGUUGCCUCCAUUGCCGCAAACCAAGUGAUGGUGUCAUAUUCAUUUAUGUGGGCGAUGGCAAACUAGUAGAGGUGGAAGCAAUUGACAAAUUUAGAUUGUUGUUAAGUAUUGGAUUUUAUUUGGAUUUAGAAGAGACUUUUAUUGUACCGUCAUUUAGACGGAAUGUGAUUUCUGUUUCUGUAUUAGAAAAUUUUGGUUAUUUAUGUUCAUUUGAAAAUAAAAAAAAUUAGUCUUUUUCUUAAUUCAAAUUUGGUUGGUUCUAAUUCUUUAUCAGUGCAUGAUAAUCUUUAUUUGCUUGAUAUAAUUGUUUCUUAUAAUGAAUCCUUACAUGUUGCUAUAAGAGGUAUGAAGAAAAAAUUAACCAAUAAGGAUUCUGCUUCUUUAUGGCACAAGAGAUUAUGUCACAUCUCCCAAAAGAGAAUUGAGAGACUUGUGUCAUAAAAAAUUCUCUCUCUCCUUGAUUUUUUAUAUUUUAAUAGAUGUGUUCAUUGUAUCAAGGGAAAACAGACAAAUAUUAAGAGAUUAGGUGCCAACAGAGCUAUGGACCUAUUAGAUAUUUGUGGAUCGUUCCCUACGGUUUCUUGGAAUUGUCAACAAUAUUUCAUAAUGUUAUAGAUGAUUAUUUAGGAUAUGACUACCUAUAUCUCAUUCAUGAAAAGUCUCAAUCCCUAGAUGUGUUCAAAAGUUUUAAAACAUAAUUUAAAAAUCAACUCAACAAAAGGAUUAAAGCUGUUAGAUCUUACUAUGGUGGUAAAUACUAUGGUAGAUCAAAUGGAUUAGGUGAACAGCGUCUAGGUCCGUUUGCUCGAUUCCCAAAUGUUGUCCUACAGUACACCAUGCAAGGUUCUCCUAACACGAAUGGUGUUGCUGAAUGGCGAAACAGAACAUUUAAGGAUAUGGUAAGGAGUAUGAUUAAUCAUUAUACCUUAUCUGAAUCACUUUGAAGAGAAUCAUUAAAGACUGCAACAUAUUUACUCAACAAAGUUCCAACUAAAGAACUUCAAAGAUCCCUUAUGAGCUUUAGACGGGUAAGAAGCCUAAUUUGAGACAGUUGCAUAUUUGUGGAUGUUCAGCUGAGGCUAGGCCCUAUAGGCCAUAGGAAAAGAAACUUGAUUCCAAGAUGUUAGUUGUUAUUUGUUGGUUAUUCUGAGGGAUUCAGGGGUUACAAAUUUUAUGAUCCCACUAUUAGGAUAAUUUUUUAGAUGAGAAAUGCCCAAUUAUUUGAGGAUGUUGAGUUUGCAGGGGGAGAAAAAGUUAACGACCUUGUUUUUGAAGAUGAACGGGUCAAUAUUCUUAUUCCCUCAGGUGCCCUUGAUAAUGAUCAGGACCAGGUUCUUAUACCUAACAAUAUCAUAAUAUCUUCCGUUCUUAUUCAGAAAACUGUUCCUGAAAUACAAACUUCAUACCCUCAAAAACUUAUAUCAUUAAGAAGAUUCACAAGAGAAAGGAGAAAUGCAAUACCAGAUGAUUAUAUUGUAUAUCUCCAAGAAUAUGAGUUUGACAUUGAUACGGUGAAAGAUGAUCCUAUCAACUUCUGUGAAGUUAUGAAAAGUUCUAACUCUCGCAGGUGAUUUGCUACCAUGAAUGAAGAGAUAAAAUUCAUUAAAGACAAUGACGUUUAGGAUCUUAUCUCAUUGCCUACGGAUGCGAAACCUAUUAGUUGCAAAUUGAUAUUUAAGACCAAGAGCAAUUCGAAAGCUAAUUUGGAGAGGUAUAAGACUUGUCUUGUCACUAAGGACUUUACACAGAAAGAAAACAUCGAUUAUAAAGAGACUUUCUCUCCAAUUUUGCCAAAAGACUCUUUCAGGACUAUAAUGACUUUAGUGGCAUAUUUUGAUCUUGAUUUACAUCAAAUGAAUAUUAAGACAACGUUUCUCAAUGGUGACAUUAAUGAGACGAUUUAUAUGGUGCAACCAGAAAAUUUUGUAUUCGAAGAUGCACAGCAAAUAGUUUGCAAACUAAAAAAAAUCUAUCUAUGGACUUAAACAGACUUUCCAUCAUUAGUAUCACAAAUUUCAUCAAGUCAUCAUCUCAUUUGGUUUUGAGAUGAAUUUAGUAGAAGAUUGUGUAUACCAUAAGUUUAGUGGGAGUAAAUAUUUUUUUCUAAUUUUAUAUGUCGAUGACAUACUACUUGCCAACAGUGAUAUAGGUUUAUUGCACGAAACCAAUAGAUUUCUAACAACGAAAUUUGAUAUAAAAGAUCUUGGAAACACCUUUUUGUAUUAGGGAUCCAAAUAUACUAAGAUCACUCUUGGGGUAUUCUUCGAUUAUUACAGAAGAGGUAUAUCGAAAAAGUUCUUAAAAUAUUUGGCAUGCAGGAUUGUAAACCAAGAGACACCCAUAUAUCUAAAGAAAACAAAUUUACUUUAAGUCAAUGCACCAAGAAUGAUUUAGAGAUUACGGAAAUGCAAAAGAUUUCUUAUGCUUCUGUUGUAGGGAGUUAUAUGUAUGCACAUGUUUGUACGCGUCCAGAUGUUGUGUACGUUGUUAGGAUGUUAGGUAGAUAUUUAAGUAAUCCAGAUAUGGAUAAUUAGAAAGCAACCCAAUGUGUCAUGCAAUAUCUACAGAGAACAAAUGAUUAUAUGCUCACAUACAAGAGGUCAGAUCAGUUGGAGAUUAUUGAUUAUUCUGAUUCUGAUUUUGUUGGGUGUCAAGACAGUAAAAAAUCUACAUCAACCUAUAUUUACUUACUUGCUGGGGAGUUAUUUCCUAUAAGAAUGCUAAAUAAAUACUUGUAGCCUCUUUUACUAUGGCAGUAGAGUUUGUAGCUUGCUAUGAGGCAUCCAAUAAUGGAAUAUAGCUGCCGAAUUUUGUCACUGGGUUUUGUAUUGUUGAUGGUAUAGAAAGACUAUUAAAGUUAUUUUGUGACAAUAAAUCUACAGUUAUGUAUUCCAACAACAAUAAGAGUUCGAAGAAAUCAAAACAUAUAAAUAUUAAGUUCCUUAUUAUUAAAGAAAGAGUUUAGAGUAAGCAGAUAUCGAUAGAGCACAUUGGAACGAACUCUAUGAUUGCGGAUAUGCUCACUAAGGGAUUACCAUCUAAGGUCUUUCAUGAAUACACUGCUCAUAUGGGUGUUGUAUCCAUAGAUGAUGUGUAGUUUCAGUGAGAGUCUUGUACCAUAGUUGCAUUUAUCUUGUGAGACAUGUCAUAAAUUAUGUACUUUGGUUUAGUUUAUGAAUAUAUGGUUUCAUUUAAGUUUUUUUAUUUUAAGUUUAUAUAUAUUAUUAUCUCUGAAUUUUUGUAUAGUUGAUCUCACUAAGAUUAACAGAAGACCAGUUAGAAAUAGGCAUGGUUAGAUCACAUAGCGUGUAAUUUCCAUGUUCCACAUCCAUGCUCCACAUCCAUGCUCGAUCCUGUCAUUCGGUUAUACUGAUAUACGUGACCAUUGAUGGGUUUAGUUACGUUAAUUAUAGUGAUGGUGCUUUGAUACUAUGUCUUUAUGAUUGAUGAAUGAGAUUUUUUGGUGAUGCAUUCACAUAUUGAUAGCAUAGUUCUGAGUACUCCUACAGUUAUUAACGCAUAGUUAAGGUGUCACAUAAAGUCUAAGUGGGAGAUUAUGCAUAUUAAGCUGUCAAUUUAAUGGAUUCAUUUAAAAGUAAUCAAAUAUAGUUAAACAAUAUUGGGUCUUAAUGCAUUGGGUUUAAGUAUUGGCUUGCAAUGUGCAGAUACAGUUUUUAUAAUAUUCUCAUUUUAUGAUAGACGAAAUGAAAAUUAUAAAAGUUAGUAGAUAUAAACGGCAGUUAUGACCCCUGAAUCAAAAGGUUAUCAUUUUAUUUUUUUGAAACUACGCCACUAGAAAAAAUUAGUUUUAAAGCGCCAUAUUGAUUUGAAAGAUUCUAAUGCCGACGUGAACAAAUCUUCUGCGAUGGAUUCAGGUACGUUUUUGAUUAUAUUUCUCUUUAAUUUAGUUUGAGGAUGUAUGUUUAAUUUUAGAGAUCUACGAAUUUGAAAAGAAAUAUUGUUCUAACAUAACGGACACUUACAUACAUAUAUUCACGCAAUAUAUAAAAUAUAACAAUACUUAUAAUCAAGAAAGUGUCAAACAAAAUAUCUCAAUUAAAUACACAACCAAAAAAGUCAUCACACGAAAAUAUUAUAAUCCUCACUCUUGUAACAUAAUUCUUGUUCUUAUUUCAAAUAACACUUACACUAGAAAUAUUACAAUACACUUGUAAUAUCACAUCUAAGAUUUCAUAGUGCGAUACCGUUUAUAUCCUCGUCGAGGAGAGGUGAAAUAGAUUCUUUCAUCGCAUGGAUAGCACACACACAAAAUCUCACAUUGACCACAACAAUUACGUUUUCUAGGUAACCCAUGCUCACAAAUAUCUAUCCACGUCUGGACUAGAUUUCAAACUCUAUCCAUGUGCAAGUUCACCAUACCCGUUAAACUUCAACCACACACAUACCUUCCCCUUCUUAAUUCAGACUAAACAACUAGGUAUCUAGUGUUCUUACACUCUACACUCCUUUCAAAUCUCUCUCAUUUUCAAUUCACUUAUUUAAUACCUAAUAUCUCAAUUUUUAAACAUAAUAAAAUACAAAUACACACACAAAAAAUAUAUAAUACAAUCAUGCACAAAAGAGUCAUAUAUUUUAAAUCACUUUCUGAAUUAUCAUGUACCAGACCACAUUACAAGCAUAGAAUCCUCAUAUUUUUGUCGCAACUGUACUAGAUCACACAACAAGUACAGUGCAUCGUACAUUUACACCAUAUCACACAGCAAGUACAGUGUACCUAAAUUACACAUGUGCACGCAUUGAUUAUACAUUUCACAUGCAUAACAUAUGUACAUACAUUAAUAUACAUUCAUAUAUUACAAUACAGACAUAUACCCUCAUUAUAUGUCUCACACAGAGUAUAUAUUUAUAUUUACGCACAAUCUCUAUCGAUACAUACACACAAUCACACACAACAUACCAUAUAUCAUAUUUAUUCACACAUCUGUUCUUAUCAGCUCUGUUCUUAUCAAUUCUAUUCUUAUCAAUUCAUAUCUCAUAUAUUGUAUAUUGUAUAUAUACACACACACAUGCCUAAUAACGUAGAUAUAUGUACUAUAUAAAUACACACAAAUACAAAUUAGACAUUAAUUAUAUUUAUAUUAUAUUACAUACAUUUAAACAUUCACACAUAAUGUAUUAUACAUAUACACAUCUACAUAAACAUAUAAUUUAUGUUUUCGUACGAAAUACAUAUAAUUCUUACUUAUGGUGUGAUCGAAAAAGCUUUGAAAAUCAUUUCUAGUUCGAUUUCCUCUCAGAAAUUCGAAUACCGUUUAAAUAAUUUUUUUCAUUUAUAGUUGGAAACACAUAUAUUAAAUUAUAAAUAAUUUUAAAAACUAUAUUACGUGAAAUUAUGAACAAAUUUUAACUUCGAAGACACUGUUCCCGUCGCCAACGUCACCACGUCCAUCACACGCAUGUCAUCGAUGUGCCACGCGCUGAUGAUUGAAUCAGUGCGUGUUGUCGCAUGCGGUACACCAACAUCAUAUUUGGUCACUACUCUUCCAUUUUUCUUCCUUAAUUUUUUUUCUCCUUUUUUUUUCUUUUUUUUUCUCUUUUUUUUUCUUUCCUUUUCUUUCUCUUUUCUUUUCUUUUUUUUUUCUUUUCUUUCUUUUUUUCUUUCUUUUUUUUCUUUUUUUUUUCCUUUUUUUUCUCUUCCCCUUUUUUUCCUUGUUUUUCUUUUCUUCUUCCUUCCUCUUCCCCUAGCUUUUCCCUCUGCUAUUCUUCUUUUUUCUUUUUUUUUUCUUUUUCUUCCUCAUCUUUUUUUUUCUUCUUGUUCUUUCUUUUCCUUUCUUCUUCUUCUUCUUCUUCUUCUUCCCGCAACGUCUCCCCUUCCGCCGCAUCCCAACUUCGCGACUACUGCUCACUCCUCGUCCUCAUGCGGCCAAGGCUCUUCCCCUCACUUCGUUCUCUCGACCCCGAUCCCGUUUUGCCUUCCCUGGCAGCUAACGUUCUUCUUUCCUCUCUAAGAGCUGAAAAUGAAGCUUUUAUAUGGGCUUUUGGGAGCCAUAGAGUCUAUAAGACAAAUAUGGAUCGUACAUUUUUAGAUCUCGCCGCGUGUAUGCACACGCGGCCGAACAGCCUGGGUCGUCCUAACACCUCACCUGCUAAGGUAUUACAUCAAAUUUAUCUAUUCUACCUAAGAAGUAGCCACCAAAGAGGGGUGACUCUCCCGACUUUUACUGUAGCAAUGCGGGAUAAAUAUCUACAAGAAAAAAAAUAUAUUUUUGAAACUUUAGGAAUUUAAAAUAAAAAAUUCACUAUUCAUCAUAUUAAAAGUGGAAUCAAAUGCUAAAUAUUAUACAUUACUAGUCAUUUAUCAGAAACUCAAUAAUAAUACUAUUCAAUGGUACAAAGAACCUACACUAUCAUGUAAACUAAUUAUUUUAAUAUGAUUCGUAAUAUUUUUUAGAAACUUAAUAAUUUUAUGAGUGUGCAAUUAUAACAUCUACUUAUGAACAAAGUUUAAUAAUUAAUGUUUACAGACUGCAUUGAUAACUGUGGAUGCUUAAAUAUAAUUUUUUUAAAAAAAUUAAUUAAAAAUAAUUAAAAUUAGAUAGGUUUGCCAAACUUCGACUUGAAAGAGACUCUUUUCACCAAGCAAAAAAGGUCAUAAUUGUGUUAAGAUAAAAAAGUACAUAAUGAUAUUUAAUGUGAAAGUAACAUAUUAAAUUUAUAUCAUAAUUUACUAUGGAUUAUAAAAAACAAUUUACACUAUUUUGUUAACGCUAUUUCAUAAUACGAAAAAUUAUUAUGAACUCUCUGUUGAAUAUCAAAACAAAUGACUUGACAAAAUUUUACAAUAUUUAAUUUGCUCUAUCAACAUUGUGGUUUGAAAAAUUAUUAUGAACUAUGUGGCCACGCUUUUCUCUCUUUUGUGUUGUUCAAUUUUCUAUUUUUCUUGCUAUUCUUUUUAGCUUCUUUGCGGUUUUCUUUAUGAGCUACCAUUACAUAAAAAAUAUAUUUUAAGACACUUGAAUGCUUAACCUCUUGAAGAAAGAGGUGAGGAGGUACACCACUUAGGCCAAAAUUAAGAGUGCGCUCCUUUGGAACUUUGUUCUUCUCUUCCUCGAACCCUCUCAAAAAAAAAAAAAAACAAGAUUCAAUAAUAGAUUUCAACACAAAAUCAUUUCUAAAGAUCUAAGAAUCAAAUUACAAAAUCCUCUUAAAUUAACAAAAGCAAAAAUGAAUACAUAACAAUAAAAAUAAUAACUAUUAGUAUCAUAUCUUAUCCUUUAUUAUUAGUCAUUAUUUUUCAAAUGUAAUAUAUUUAUUUUUAUGCACCUAUAUAUUCUUAUUGACAUAGGAUUACUAUAAGUCAUGUUCUGCCUUCCAUAUUCACAUCGUGAAUUUAAAUUGGAGUAAAAUAUAAUAUUUUCAUCUCAAUAUUUACUAUAUUUUAUUCUAUAAGAUUAUUUUUAUUGAAUUAAAUAUAUAAAUAACCAUAAUUCAAAGAAACAUGUAAAUGAUUAUUCAAAACUUUCACUCUCAAUGGAUGUACAAAUAAAUUUAUUCUCAAUGUAUGCAAAUAAUAAUAAAAUUAAUGAUGAUAAAAGCAUUUCGAAGUCGCAAGGGACAUACAUAGAAUAUUAGAUGUUGAACAUAGCAAGCCAGAUCUUCUUUUUUUUUUUCCUAAGGCUUUGUAACAGGUAAUGUGUUACCAACAUCAAUGACAAAACGAUAUUUGACAUCAGAUUUAGCAACUCGCUCCAUAGCCAUGUUGACAUAAUCGAUUGGAACAAUCUCGACAUUUGCCUUUAUGUUGUGUUUUGCAGCAAAAUCAAUCAUCUCUUCUGUCUCUUUUAUACCUCCGAUGUAACUCCCAACUAUUUCUUUCCUUCCUAUUUAAUUUUUUAGAACUCGUUAAUGCAUUAUUUAUAUUAUCUUGAUUCUAACAACAAGUUGGGUAUCUUUACUUAGAGUAUUUUCUUUUUCCAUCAAUUCUUAGUUAAUCAAUCACAUUUGUUUUUUGUAUUAGUUAAAUAUUCUUCUAUCCUUACCGUCAUACAAAGAAUAUGGAUGUAUUUCCAAUGGCGUAGCUGGUGCACCUAACAACACAAGUCGUCCCCUGAACUUCAAUAGACUAAAAUAUGGUUCAAGGGAAUGAGCUGCAGAAACAGUGUCAAUAACACCAUCCAUUGUCUUAGCAGCAAACUGUGAUUAAGAAAUUUAAUAUCAGAAGAAAGAUAUUUGAAUUAAAAAGUAAAAACAUGUAAUUUAUUACCUCUAAUUGGUCAGUAUCGUGGCUAACCAAAAAUGCAUCGGCACCCAAACGUUCUAAAGCUUCAGUUUUUUUGCUUGGUGAUGUACUAAUUACCGUGACUUGAGCACCCAUUGCUUUAGCAAAUUUAACAGCUAAAUGACCAAGACCACCAAGGCCUACAAUACCUACAUGUUUACCAACUUUCCCCAGUCCAAAAUAUUUUAAUGGACUGUACACUGUAAUUCCAGCACAAAGUAAAGGAGGAAGAGAAUCAAGUGGUACAUUGUUAGGAAUUCGAAGGAUGUAAUGUUCAUUAACAACUACAUGAUCAGAAAAACCUCCAUAAGUGAUUUUGCCAUCCAGGUGAAUAGAAUUGUAGGUGAAUAUCAUUUCGGGACAAUAAUUUUCAAGGUCAUUGACACAAUUCUCACAAGAGUGGCAUGCACCAACAAUACAGCCAACGCCGACUUUAUCACCAAUUUUGACCUUCUUCACCUUGUUCCCAACUUCUGUCACUUCUCCAACAAUUUCGUGUCUGCAAGCAGUGAAUCCGUUAAAAGCAUCGAACUGUUCUCAUGAUAACAAGUAGUAGCAUGUUUAGAGGCAAGAAUUUAAAGUUAGAAGUUGGCAUACCAACGGAUAUAUACGCAUAUGUAACGAAAAUAUACAUAUACAUAAUAUAUAUAUCCAACACAAAAGAGAUAAUUGUGAUAGAUAAGCUAUUCUCAUUAUGCGAAAUACCGGCUAGCGUGACCAUCCAAAUCUUGUUUAGUUAGAUGUUUGAUGAGAUUGAGAUAGUUUUAGUCCUUAACAAACCAAAAGAAAAGAUCACAAGGUUAUAAUUACCCGGGAACCAUAGGGUACACAGCAGUUUCCCAGAUAUUUUUUGUUAUGCAAAGAUCUCCAUCGCAGAUUCCACAAUACAACACCUUUACCCUCACGUCUUCCUCGCCUGUUCCCCUGCAUUGCAAUUCAAUAUGUACACAUAUCACGCAUCACCUACGCGUAUACAUAUAUGCGUAUGCACAAGUGUAUAUUUUCGAACAGUGUGAAGAGAAACGAAUUGAGAAAAGGGCCAAUGGCAGAGUUUGCGAAAGGGUACCUUCUGGAGAAGUUGAAGGGAGAGAGAUGACCGGAAGAGUCUCUCGCUGCCCAACCAUAGGCCUUAAUUGGGUACACUGUUUCUGGUGAGCGCUCUGCCAUUUUCCUUUUAUAGAACUAGAAAAACAAGAGAACCAAGUACUUGACUAAGUAUUAUACUUACGCACUCCAGAAAGAUCAAAUUGAGAAAGAAAAGAAGUAUCAACUUUAUAUUUUUUGUCCAGGCUCAACGGUUUACCGAUCAUAUAAAUAUAUACGUCUCUGGUUGCAUGCAUCCCCAGGAUGGGAAGAGUUGACCCUUUCUUACGUUAAUUAUUAUUAUUAUAAUAUUUUUUUUAGUAGAUCACUGAUAUAUAUUUAUUUUAUUUUAUUUUAUAAAAAUCAAACUUACAAAUUUUCUCGAAUUCAUAAUUUCUAUAAUAUAAUAAAUUAAAACUGGACCAAGUGGGCUGCUUCACCAUGCGUGGUACAACUAUUUAUAUAACAUAUGUUCAUCAUUAUUUUAUACGAUUAAUUCCUGAUCAUUAAUCACCAGAUCUGAAACGAGCUCAUAUUUGAUCUGCUUUUUGUUUAUUUAUAUUUGAUCUUUAUCUUAAUUUUUAAGAUUUAAUAAUUAAUUAACGUGGAGAUAAACGUGCUUAUAUUUUAUUCAUUAUAGUUGUGGAAGAUUUUGAUUUCUUAGCUGUGAUAAUAAAUUUCAUUAUUAAUUAAUAUUUUAUAGACUAUGGUUGCAGAAGACUAUAACUUCAUAGCUGCAUUUAUUUUAUUUUUAUUUGAUUAUUAAUUCUAAAUAAUGAGAUAAACGUGCUUAUUUUUAAUUACUUCAUAAUUUUUUCUUUAAAAAAAAAUAUUUGGUUGUUAUUGGGAUCUUUUAAUAUUAUAUUUUAUAUCCAUAUGAAAUGAUACAACAUCAAAUUAAAAUUCAACUUGUAUGAUUUUGCAAUUUAAUUUGAUUCAAUAAAAAAUAAUUUGGAUCCAAUUGAUGAAUCGAAGUCUAGCAUGAUUGCUCAAAAAAUCUUAAAAAAUAUUGGUCUAGUUCAAUAUUUAUAAUUCAAUUCAAUAUUUAAAAUAUAAUUUAAUUUAAUUUUUAACGUAAAGUAUUCAAUUUUUUUUACCUUCUUUAAAUAUUAUUUAUAUAGUUAUUAAAUAUAGACAAAUAGAAUUCUCCUAUUAUAUGUAUAGUACGCACACAAUCUCAUAUUAAUUACAACAAUUAUAUUAACUACAUUGACUUAUAUAUUCGUAAAUAUCUAUUUAAAUUUUAAAGAAGAAUUAUAUAUGUUUAGAAUAUAAUUUAAUUUAAUUUUCAACUUAUAUUCAAUUAUAGUAGGCACUCAAUCUCAAUCUCAUAUUAAUUACAGCCGUUACGUUGACUCGUUUAUUCAUAACUAUCUAUUUACGUUUGGACUAAAUUUCAAAGAAUCUCCCUCUCCUUUCCUUUCAAAGAAUCUCUCUCUCCAGCCAGCAUCGGCUGGUCUCCUCUCUCUCUCUUUCUGGCCGCCGCUCGGUCUUCUCCUCCUCCUUAUCCGCUUCUCUUCCGUUUUUAAUUAUUUUUUCUUUUUCUUGCUUCGAGAAAUGAAGAUUUCUUAAGGAUUAGAUGUGGUUUACAUCUAUAUAUAUAUAGAGAAGGAUGAAUACGAGCACAAGUGAAGGACAAGGAAAGAUAAGAUGGUUAUUUCCUUGUAGUAAUAAUAAACUUCAAAUUUUAUUUGCAAAAUCUAUCAAGUAAACAUCUAUAAUAUCAUUAAUAAGAUAUAGAAAUCAAAUUCCGAUUUAGGCGCAGCCUCCAGUCUGCAAAAGCCGGCUUAAUUAAUCUCUCUCUUGUUUAAUCUCUCUCUCUUCCUGUAUAUCUAUGUAUCUAUCUGUCAUGUCUAUAUAUUUUUCUACGUGUGCGAUACACCAUUGUUAGCUAUAAAUCCUCCUUUUGUUCUGUCACUCAUACGUACACAUAGAUAUACAGACAAGUAGCCGUCCUCUUUGAAUCAAACUAAAGAAAUCAUUUUUAAAUACAAUAUGAUAUAUAUAAUUUUAUUUUAUUCAAAAUAAAUUUUUAAAUUUCUAUUUUAAACUUUGCAAUCAAAAGAUAUAGACGCAGAGUUAGCUUAUUGGGAAAGACGUGUUUGAUAAGAUAACAAUUGUUAAUUAAGAAACCAGAUGCACAUGGCUAACUGGCUAGAUCUUCAAUUGAUCUGGAUGUAUUGAAAUAUUAUUUCUCACCCUCUCUCCCGAUGUAUAUCAUGUAUAUAUAUUUUUCUACGUGUGCGAUACACCAUUGUUAGCUAUAAAUCCUCCUUUUGUUCUGUCACUCGUACGUACACAUACACAUACAGACAAGUAACCCCCCUCUUUGAAUCAAACUAAAGAAAGCAGAAUGGGAUUGUCACCGGAAGAAGAACAUCCUGUUAAGGCCUUUGGCUGGGCAGCAAGAGACUCGUCUGGUCAUCUCUCUCCUUUCAACUUCUCAAGAAGGUGAUCCUACUUCCCUACCUUCUCAUAAUUCUUACUUUCCUUUUCUUUCUGUUUAGGUGUAUUUACCUUUUCUUCUUUGAUAAUGUAGUCUUAGAGGAACACGUUAUCAACCAUUUAGUUUAUUUCUCUACGAGAAAAAAUCUAUAAUUGCAUAAAAUAUGUACAGUUGAUUGAUUACAUAAGUUUUUGUGAGCAGGGAAACUGGUGAGGAGGAUGUGAGGCUUAAGAUCUUAUAUUGCGGCCUCUGUGUUGCAGAUCUGUUAGCAAUGAAAAAUGAAUUUUCUGAUGCCCAAACCAUCUAUCCUCUUGUUCCUGGGUAAGAAGAUAUCAGUUAAUAUUAUUAAUUUUAUUUUAUUAUUGCAAUGUAAUAAAUAUAAAAAAUGGUAAUAAAAUUUAUGUAUAAAACAGAUUACCUACGAUUUUACAGGCAUGAAAUUGUAGGAGAAGUGACACAAGUUGGAUGCAAGGUGAUAAAGUUUAAAGUUGGCGAUAAAGUAGGUGUUGGGACAUUAGUUGGUGCAUGUCACUCGUGUGAAAGUUGUAUGGAAAGCUUCGAAAUUUUUUGUCGUAAAAGGAUUUUCAGCUUCAACUUCAUCGACCACAACGAUGGGACUGUAACAUAUGGAGGGUUAUCAAAUCAUAUGGUUGCCAAUGAACGUUAUGUCGUUCGAUUUCCUGAUAAUAUAUUACUCCAUACUGCUCCACCUUUACUUUGUGCCGGAAUUACAGUAUACAGUCCAUUGAAAUACUUCAGACUUGCAGAAUCAGAAAAGCAUGUUGGUAUUGUAGGCCUCGGUGGCUUAGGUCAUUUAGCUGUUAAAUUUGCCAAAGUAAUGGGGGCCAAAGUUACUGUCAUCAGUAGCUCACUUAGUAAGAAAAUUGAUGCCUUGGAACGUUUAGGUGCUGAUUCUUUUUUGCAUAGUAGUGACCACGACGAAAUGCAGGUGUAUAUAUAUAUAUAUAUAUAUAUAUAUAUAUAUAUAUAGUUAUAUAUGUUAAUUAUUGAUGAAAUAUUUAUUUAAAUAACUUAUCUAUGGAUAUAAAUGUUGGACGCGCAGGCUGCGAUGGGCAGUAUGGAUGGUAUUCUCGACACAGUUUCUGUUUCUCAUCCUAUCACACCAUUAAUUGACCUACUCAAGUCUCAUGGACAACUUGUCUUAUUGGGUCCAGACAACUCACUAGAAUUACCAACCUUACCUUUGACGAAAGGUAAAUGCAUAUGCAUAUAUAUAUAUACAUAUGAAAAAAUAUUGCAUGCAGAUAAAAUGCUUAUUAAAUAAAGCUAUUUUAAUCUAGAACUGGUAAUUAAAAAGAAUUAAUCAUUAAGAACAUACUUAAACUAAGUACUUAUUUUCGAACAAAUGAUACCAAAUUAACUCAAACAUAUUCCAUACAUAUUAUCAAUAAAUGUUCAAAACUAAUAUUCAUACACUGACUGCAUGCAUGUGACAAAACAGGAAGAAAAACUGUAGUUGGUAGUGCAUACGGAGCAACAUAUGAGAUUCAAGAAAUGAUUGAUUUUGCAGCAAAACACAACGUAAAUGCAGAUGUGGAGGUUAUUUCAGCAGAUUAUCUUAAUCAGGCUACAGAACGACUCGCUAAAUCUAAUGUUAGAUAUCGAUUUGUGGUUGACGUUGGGAAUACUUUGCCUUCUGCGAAUUCCACAUUUAAUUAAGGAUGCUAGCAUGUUCCUUAAUUUCUGUAACUCUUUGGAAACUUUUUCAAAGUCUUUCGCUUUAUUGUUAUGCAUCCUAAAGCUGAUGUUAAAUAUCGAUUUGUGAUUGAUGUUGGCAAUAUCUUGCCUUCUACAAAUUCCACAUUUAACUAAGGAUCUAAGCAUGUUCCUUAGUUUCUGUAAUUUUUUGGAAACUUUUUCAAAAUCUUUCGUUCUAUUGUUAUGCAUCCUAAAGCUGAUGUUAAAUAUCGAUUUGUAGUUGACGUUGGCAAUACCUUGCCUUCUACAAAUUCCACAUUUAACUAAGGAUCUUAACAUGUUUCUUAGUUUCUGUAACUGUUUGGAAACUUUUUCAAAGUCUUUCGCUCUAUUGUUAUGUAUCUUAAAGCUGAUGUUAAGUUUCUAUUGAUAAUGUCAUGCAUCUUUUGUGAACAUUUUGAAACUUUUAAUUACAUGCAAUAAUAAAAAUUAAAUUAUUUUUAUGACAUAAUUACUUUUAAAUUUAAAAAUUUUCUAAUUUAAAAAUAACAAUCGUCGUCACAACGUGCAAAUGAUACCACUUAGUUAACCUUAAUUAAAUAUAUCAUACCAUUUAAAUUUCGAAUCAUAUAUAGCCUCUAUUUUUCAUUUUUUAGAAUUUUGUAUGGACUACUCGUUUUUCUUAAAUAUUUAUUCAUCACAGAUGGUCUAAACCAUGAAAUAUGAUUACGAGAAAGUAAUAUAGUGCUAAAAACAUCAUAAUCUAAAUAGGUUGCUAUCUAUUAAAUUACAUUGGCAUUUAAAACAAAGAUAAAAGCUGAGAACUUCCAUUCCGUUUCACUUACUCUAAUUGUAUAUUCCAACUUCCCACAGCCCAUGUAAUUUAGAUUCUUGAUCCCAAACCUAAUCAUUUUAGCCAAAUUAUUUGCUAGAGAGUUCUCUUUGUGCAAUAUGCCAAAAGUUGAUCUGUUUCAACAUUCGCUUUGCUUUUAUAUAUUUAUUUUCACUCAAAUAUAAUAGUUCGAAUCUCAAUAUCGGUGGGUACGAACGUUAACACAAUAUUUUCAAUUAGCAGAAUAUAUAAAUAUUAAAUAUGUAACAGAAUUAUAUUUUAAUACACAUCUUUUAUGAGAGGAUAAUUACUUGUUACAAACAAUUAAGUAAUCUAAAUUAAUUUACAAAUCUAAAAUAGAAAUUAACAAGGUUUUUUUCACUAUUGUCUAUUAAUCUUGGACUUGUUUCUCAUCUCCUCUCACCUAAAUAAGGGUGAAUUGGGGUGAGCUUCAUGAUCUCAGUAAGAAAAAAGAUUUUAUAACGUGUUUGAUUUUUCUAAUGUGGGGUUUAGUAUACAUAUCAGGCUGUCAAUUUAAUGGACUCAUUUAAAACUGAUCAAAUAUGAUUGAACAAUAUUGGAUCUUAAUAGAUCGAGUUUAAGUAUGAACUUAUAAUGUGCGGAUACUAUUUUUGUAAUAUUCUCAUUGUAUCAUGGACGAAAUGAAAAUUGCAAAACUUAGUCGAUAUAAAAGGCGAUUAUGAUCCCCGAAUCAAAAGGCUGUCAUUUAUUUUUCUGAAAUCCCGUCACCAUAAAAAACUAGUUUCAAGGCGCCGUAUUGAUUCGGAAGAUCCUACCGCCGAACGUGAACAAAUCUCCUGCGAUAGAUUCAGGUACACUUAUGAUUAUAUUUCUCUUUAAUUCAGUACAAUGAUGUAUAUUUAAUUUUACAGAUCUAUGAAUUUGAAAAGAAAUAUUAUUCUAACAAUUAGUAUCAUAGCCAUUUAUCGUAUCGAACGUUUUGAGAAAGUUUUAUUUUUGUUUUUUAUUAUGUAAUUUUAGAUUUUAGAUUCAAAACUUUAGAUUUUGGAUUUGUUUUUGUUUAGUUGAAUAAAUAUAUAUAUAUAUGCAAAAAAUUAAGAAACAUAUAUAUUAAGAAAUUAAGUAUUGUAUAUGUAUAUAUAUAUAUAUAUAUUUUAAGCAUGUAUGUAUAUAUAUAUAAAAAUAAAAAAUAAAUAAAGCAAUGGCCGACCGCCACUCUACAUGAAGAAGCAACCAUUACAGAUUGCAUGAAUUUAAUUUACUAUUUAAUUUUUUGUUUAAAAUUAAAAGGGUGAGAGUUUUGGGUUUGAUGAGUUGUUUAUGUUUAAGUUUUAAAAAUUAUAAUUAUGUGGGCUUAGAUUACAAUAAGAGAAAAGAUCCAAUCGGCUGGCCCAAAAUUCAGGUCCGUUUGGGAUGGGCCAACUCGGUCUAGACUCAACUCGGCAUGGACCCGACGGGUGUUGACCCAACCCAGUCAACGGUUAACAGUUGAUCAGUCAAUGGUCAACGGUUGAUGAUCAACACUUGACUGGUCAAUGGUUAAAGUUGACUUUGACUAGUCAACAAUUAACUCUUGAAAAAAUAUAAGUAUUUUUUUGUUAUUUUAUAGUUGAUUUUCUUCAUAAUUUAGUUUAAAUUUGGUUUUAAUUUUGAAUUUUAAUAUUAGUAUGUGUAUAUACAUAUUAAAAUAAUUUAAUUAACAUAUGUCACCAAAGUAAUAUCUCUUGUGUAUUAUUUAUUUAUUUUAUAAUGUAAAUAGUUAUAUGAGUANNNNNNNNNNNNNNNNNNNNNNNNNNNNNNNNNNNNNNNNNNNNNNNNNNNNNNNNNNNNNNNNNNNNNNNNNNNNNNNNNNNNNNNNNNNNNNNNNNNNNNNNNNNNNNNNNNNNNNNNNNNNNNNNNNNNNNNNNNNNNNNNNNNNNNNNNNNNNNNNNNNNNNNNNNNNNNNNNNNNNNNNNNNNNNNNNNNNNNNNNNNNNNNNNNNNNNNNNNNNNNNNNNNNNNNNNNNNNNNNNNNNNNNNNNNNNNNNNNNNNNNNNNNNNNNNNNNNNNNNNNNNNNNNNNNNNNNNNNNNNNNNNNNNNNNNNNNNNNNNNNNNNNNNNNNNNNNNNNNNNNNNNNNNNNNNNNNNNNNNNNNNNNNNNNNNNNNNNNNNNNNNNNNNNNNNNNNNNNNNNNNNNNNNNNNNNNNNNNNNNNNNNNNNNNNNNNNNNNNNNNNNNNNNNNNNNNNNNNNNNNNNNNNNNNNNNNNNNNNNNNNNNNNNNNNNNNNNNNNNNNNNNNNNNNNNNNNNNNNNNNNNNNNNNNNNNNNNNNNNNNNNNNNNNNNNNNNNNNNNNNNNNNNNNNNNNNNNNNNNNNNNNNNNNNNNNNNNNNNNNNNNNNNNNNNNNNNNNNNNNNNNNNNNNNNNNNNNNNNNNNNNNNNNNNNNNNNNNNNNNNNNNNNNNNNNNNNNNNNNNNNNNNNNNNNNNNNNNNNNNNNNNNNNNNNNNGAAAGAUGAGAUCGAUCAAACCGUAUAAAUAUGUUGGUUAUGAAAUAGACCAUUCCUUAGGUUUUUUAGGCACUAUGUCCGAUGAGAUCACAAUAGUUAGAGAUUUUAUGCAUUCUCUAGAAUAACAAUUCUCCAGAAGUGAUACGGUCGAAGUAUGUAUAUUUCAUUCGACUUUUGUUUCCAUUAGGUAUAAGGGAAAUAGAGACAUUAGAGAGCACAUAAUGGAGAUGUCACAUGUCCAUGCAAAGCUCAAAGCACUUAGAGUGAAAUUGUCAAAAGAAGUAUUUGUGUACUUUGUUUUAAUUUCUCUUUUACCAUAAUUUAAUCAUUUUAAGGUGACAUACAACUAUUAGAAAGAAUCAUAAAAUCUGAAUGAACUCAUUUCACAUGUGCUCAAGAGGAGGAAAGACUCAAGUCUGAGAGGACAGAGAGUGCUCAUUUAGAAGUGAUCUCCAAGAAUAAAAAGAAUAAGAAAAAGCAAACAGGUAAAUUUAUUAAGGUUCCAAUACAAUAUAAGAAGCAACAAAAGGCUUAGAUGGAAAAUAUUUGUUUCUUCUAUUAAGUUCUGAGACACUAAAAGAAGUAAUGUGCUAACUAUCAUGUGUGGUGCACAAAAAAAUGUAUGCUUCUUAAUUUUGUUUGCAUUGAGGUUAAUUUAACUUUUGUAUCAAUACACACCUAAUGGAUAGAUUCUGGGGCCACAACUAAUAUCAGUGUCUCUAUGUAGUGUUGCCUCCAUUACUGCAAACCAAGUGAUGGUGUCAUAUUCAUUUAUGUGGAUAAUGGCAAACUAGUAAAGGUGGAAGCAAUUGGCAAAUUUAUAUUAAUGUUAAGUACUGGAUUUUAUUUGGAUUUAGAAGAGAUUUUUAUUAUACCGUCAUUUAGACAGAAUGUGAUUUCUGUUUCUGUAUUAGAAAAUUUUGGUUAUUUAUGUUCAUUUGAAAAUAAAAAAUUUAGUCUUUUUCUUAAUUCAAAUUUGGUUGGUUCUAAUUCUUUGUCAGUGCAUGAUAAUCUUUAUUUGCUUGAUAUAAUUAUUUUUUAUAAUGAAUCCUUACAUGUUGCUAUAAGAGGUAUAAAGAAAAAAUUAAUCAAUGAGAAUUCUGCUUCUUUAUGGCACAAAAGAUUAUGUCACAUCUCCCAAAAGAGAAUUGAGAGAGUUGUGUCAUAAAAAAUUCUCUCUCUCCUUGAUUUUUUAUAUUUUAAUAGAUGUGUUCGUUGUAUCAAGGGAAAACAUACAAAUAUUAAAAGAUUAGGUGCAAACAGAGCUACGAACGUAUUAGAUAUUUGUGGAUCGUUCCCUACGGUUUCUUGGAAUUGUCAACAAUAUUUUAUAAUGUUCACAGAUGAUUAUUUAGGAUAUGACUACCUAUAUCUCAUUCAUGAAAAGUCUCAAUCUCUAGAUGUGUGCAAAAGUUUUAAAGUAUAAUUUAAAAAUUAACUCAACAAAAGGAUUAAAGCUAUUAGAUCUUACUAUGGUGGUAAAUACUAUGGUAGAUCAGAUGGAUCAGGUAAACAGUGUCUAGGGCCGUUUGCUCGAUUCCCAAAGGUUAUCUUACAGUACACCAUGUAAAGUUCUCCUAACAUGAAUGGUGAUGCUAAAUGACGAAACAGAACAUUUAAGGAUAUGAUAAGGAGUAUGAUUAAUCAUUCUACCUUACCUGAAUCACUUUGGGGAGAAGCAUUAAAAACUGCAACAUAUUUACUCAAUAAAAUUCUAACUAAAAAACUUUAAAGACCCCUUAUGAACUUUUGACGGGUAAGAAGCCUAAUUUGAGACAGUUGCACAUUUGUGGAUGUUCAACUGAGGCUAGGCCUUAUAGCCCAUAGGAAAAGAAACUUGAUUCCAAGAUGUUAGUUGUUAUUUAUUGGUUAUUCUGAGGGAUUCAAGGGUUAUAAAUUUUAUUAUCACACUAUUAGGAUAAUUUUUUAGAUGAGAAAUGCCCAAUUAUUUGAGGAUGUUGAGUUUGCGGGGGGAGAAAAAGUUCACGACCUUGUUUUUGAAGAUGAACGGGUCAAUAUUCUUAUUCCCUCAGGUGCCCUUGACAAUAAUCAGGACCAGGUUCUUAUACCUAACAAUAUAUCUUCCGUUCCUAUUCAGAAAACUGUUCCUGAAAUAUAAACUUCAUACCCUCAAAAACUUAUGUCAUUAAGAAGAUUCACAAGAGAAAUGAGAAGUGCAAUACCACAUGAUUAUAUUGAUUUGGAAGAUUCUAAUGCCGACGUGAACAAAUCUUCUGCGAUGGAUUAAGGUACGCUUUUGAUUAUAUUUCUCUUUAAUUUAGUAUGAGGAUGUAUGUUUAAUUUUAGGGAUCUACGAAUUUGAAAAUAAAUAUUGUUCUAACAUAACAGACACUUAUAUACAUAUAUUCACACAAUAUAUAAAAUAUAACAAUACUUAUAAUCAAGAAAGUGUCAAUUAAAAUAUCUCAAUUAAAUACACAACAAAACAAGUCAUCACACGAAAAUAUUAUAAUCCUCACUCUUGUAACAUAAUUCUUGUUCUUAUUUCAAAUAACACUUACACUCGAAAUAUCACAAUACACUUGUAAUAUCACAUCUAAGAUUUCAUAGUGCGAUACUGUUUAUAUCAUCGUCGAGGAGAGGCGAAAUAAAUUCUCUCAUCGUAUGGAUAGCACACACAUAAAAUCUCACAUUGGCCACAUAGUUACGUUUUCUAAGUAACCCAUGCUCACAAANNNNNNNNNNNNNNNNNNNNNNNNNNNNNNNNNNNNNNNNNNNNNNNNNNNNNNNNNNNNNNNNNNNNNNNNNNNNNNNNNNNNNNNNNNNNNNNNNNNNNNNNNNNNNNNNNNNNNNNNNNNNNNNNNNNNNNNNNNNNNNNNNNNNNNNNNNNNNNNNNNNNNNNNNNNNNNNNNNNNNNNNNNNNNNNNNNNNNNNNNNNNNNNNNNNNNNNNNNNNNNNNNNNNNNNNNNNNNNNNNNNNNNNNNNNNNNNNNNNNNNNNNNNNNNNNNNNNNNNNNNNNNNNNNNNNNNNNNNNNNNNNNNNNNNNNNNNNNNNNNNNNNNNNNNNNNNNNNNNNNNNNNNAAAAUUGAACAUGACUCACAAUAUAUUACCAAAUUUCGAAUAUAAUCUGAAUUCGUACCAAAUUUAACAACCUAAUUAAACGAGAAUGAUAAUCACAUAAAAAAUUUGAGGGACACAGUGUAAUUUCUCAAAAAAUUUAUAAAAAAAAAUAAAAUCAUACCCUCAUUAAUACUUAAACACAUAUACACAAUCACACACAACAUACCAUAUUUAUAUUUAUUCACACAUCUGUUCUUAUCAGCUCUGUUCUUAUCAAUUCUAUUCUUAUCAAUUCAUAUCUCAUAUAUCGUAUAUUUUAUAUAUAUACACACACAUGCCUAAUAACGUUUAUAUAUAUACUAUAUAAAUACACACAAAUACAAAUUAGACAUUAAUUAUAUUUAUAUUAUAUUACAUACAUUUAAACAUUCACACAUAAUGCACUAUACAUAUACACGUCUACAUAAACAUAUAAUUUAUGUCUUCGUACGAAAUACACAUAAUUCUUACAUAUGGUGUGAUCGGAAAAGCUUUGAAAAUCCUUUCUAGUUCGAUUUAUGGUCCUCUCAGAAAUUCGAAUACCGUUUAAAUAAUUUUCUUCAUUUAUAAUAGAAAACACAUAUACUAAAUUAUAAAUAAUUUUGAAAACUAUAUUACGUGAAAUUAUGAACAAAUUUUAACUUCAAAGACACUAUCCCCGUCGCUAACGUCACCACGCGUCAUCACACGCGUGUCACCGAAUGUGCCACGCGCUGAUGAUCGAAUCAGCGCGUGCUGUCGCAGGCGGCGCACCAACAUCAUAUUUGGUCACCACCCUUUCAUUUUUCUUUCUUAUUUUUUUCUCCUUUUUUUUCUCUUUUUUUUCUUUCCUUUUCUUUCUCUUUUCUUUUCUUUUUUUUUUCUUUUCUUUCUUUUUUUCUUUCUUUUUUUUCUUUUUUUCCCUUUUUUUUCUCUUCUCAUUUUUUUCUUUUGUUUUUCUUUUCUUCUUCCUUCCUCUUCCCCUAGCUUUUCCCUCUGCUCUUCUUUUUUUUCCUUUUUUUUUUCUUUUUCUUCUUUUUUUUUCUCUUCUUCUUCUUCUUCUUCUUCUUCUUGCAAUGUCUCCCCUUCCGCCGUAUCCCAGCUUCACGACUACUGCUCUCUCCUCCUCCUCAUGCAGCCAAGGCUCUUCCCCUCACUUCGUUCUCUCGGCCCCAAUCCCAUUUUGCCUUCCCUGGAAGCUAAGGUUCUUCUUUCCUCUCUAAGAGCUAAAAAUGAAGCUUUUAUAUGGGCUUUUGGGAGCCAUAGAAUCUGCAAAACAACUCUGGACCGUACAUUUUCAGAUCUCACCGUGUGUAUGCAUACGUGGCCGAACGGCCUGGGCCAUCCUGACAUCUCACCUGCUGAGGUAUUAUAUCAAAUUUAUCUAUUCUACCUAAGAAGUAGCCACCAAAGAGGGGCGACUCUCCCGACUUUCACAGUAGCAAUGCAGGAUAAAUAUCUACAAGAAAAAAAAAAUAUUUUUGAAACUUUAGGAAUUUAAAAUAAAAAAUUCACUAUUCAUCAUAUUAAAAGUGAAAUCAAAUGUUAAAUAAUAUACAUUACUAGUCACUUAUCAGAAACUCAAUAAUAAUACUAUUCAAUGGUACAAAGAACCUACACUAUCAUGUAAACUAAUUAUUUUAAUAUGAUUCGUAAUAUUUUUUAAAAACUUAAUAAUUUUAUGAGUGUGCGAUUAUAACAUCUACUUAUGAACAAAGUUUAAUAAUUAAUGUUUACAUACUGCAUUGAUAACUGUAGAUGCUUAAAUAUAAUUUUUUUUUUAAAAGAAAAUUAAUUGAAAAUAAUUAAAAUUAGAUAGGUUUGCCAAACUUUGACUUGAAAGAGACUGUUUAUCACCAAGUAAAAAAGAUCAUAAUUGUGUUAGGAUAAAAAAGUACAUAAUGAUAUUUAAUGUGAACGUAACAUAUUAAAUUUAUAUCGUAAUUUACUAUGGAUCAUAAGAAACAAUUUACAUUAACGCUAUUUCAUAAUACAAAAAAUUAUUAUGAACUCUCUGUUGAAUAUCAAAACAAGUGACUUGACAUAAUUUUACAAUAUUUAAUUUUUUUGAAAAUAUUUAAUUUGCUCUAUCAACAUUGUGGUUUGAAAAAUUAUUAUGAACUAUGUGGCCACACUUUUCUCUCUUGUGUUGUUCAAUUUUCUAGUUUUCUUGCUAUUCUUUUUAGCUUCUUUGGGGUUUUCUUUAUGAACUACCAUUACAUAAAAAACAUAUUUUAAAACACUUGAAUGCUUAAUCUCUUGAAGAAAGAGGUGAGGAGGUACACUUAGGCCAAAAAUUAAGUGUGUGCUCCUUUGGAACUUUGUUCUUCUCUUCCUCGAAACCUCUCAAAAAAAAAAAACAAGAUUCAAUAAUAGAUUUCAACAUAAAAUCAUUUCUAAAGAUCUAAGAAUCAAAUUACAAAAUCCUCUUAAAUUAACAAAAGCAAAAAAAAAAUUGAGUAUGGGUUUCAAAUUGGGUUCAAAAUAGGAGAGAAAUUUUAUUCAUAAAAUGAAUACAUAACAAUAAAAACAAUAAUUAUUAGUAUUAUAAUAAUAUAUUAAGGUCAUGUAUCAUCACUUUAUACAAGAACAUGUUGCCCUUAAACAACUUGAUAUUCAGGUUCUUUCGAAGACUAAUUUACUACAUAACAUCAUUAAUAAUCAUUUCUCCUAGAAACUUUUCUCAAGUUCAAAGAAGUUCUAUCUUUGUUCUCUGUUGCCAUCAUUUUGUGAGGUUUCAGGAUAAUAGACAUGGUUUGUUCAGUAUCAUCUCUUAUCUUUUACUAUCUUCGACCUUUAUUAUUAGUCAUUAUUUUUCAAAUAUAAUAUAUUUAUCUUUAUGUACCUAUAUAUUCUUAUUGACAGAGGAUUAAUAUAAGUCAUGUUCUGCCCUCCAUAUUCACAUUAUGAAUUUAAAUUAGAGUAAAAUAUAAUAUCUUCGUGUCAACAUUUACUAUAUUUUAUUCUAUAAGAUUGUUUCUAUUGAAUCAAAUAUAUAAAUAACCAUAAUUUAAAGAAACAUUUAAAUGAUUAUUCAAAACUUUCACUCCCAAUGGAUGUACAAAUUAAAUUUAUUCUCAAUAUCUACAAACAAUAAUAAAAUUAAUAAUGAUAAAAUCAUUUCGAUAUCGCUAGCACAUACAUAGCAUACUAGAUGUUGAACAUAACAAGUCAGGCCUUUUUUGUUUAAGGCUUUGUAACAGCUAAGGUGUUACCAACAUCAAUGACAAAACGAUAUUUGACAUCAGAUUUAGCUACUCGCUCCGUAGCAAUGUUGACGUAAUCGAUUGGAACAAUCUCGACAUCUGCCUUUAUGUUGUAUUUUGCAGCAAAAUCAAUCAUCUCUUCUGUCUCUUUUAUACCUCCGAUGUAACUCCCAACUAUUGUUUUCCUUCCUAUUUAAUUUUUUAGAAUUCGUUAAUGCAUUACUUAAGUCGUUUAACAUAUUAUAGUCUCUAAUUAAACGGGAAUGAUUCAAUUCUCACAAAAAUUUUCCUUUUAAUUUAUUCUUAAUUAAUCAAUCAGAUUAUUUGUUGAUAUUAAUUAAAUAUUCUUCUAUACUUACCAUCAUACAAAGAAUAUGGAUGUAUUUCCAAUGGUGGAUGUAUUUCCAAUGGCGUAGCUGGUGCACCUAACAACACAAGUCGUCCCCUCAACUUCAAUAGACUAAAAUACGGUGCGAGGGAAUGAGCUGCAGAAACAGUGUCAAUAACACCAUCCAUUGUCUCAGCAGCAAACUGUGAUUAAGAAAUUUAAUAUCAGAACAAAGAUGUCUGAAUUAAAAUGUAAAAACAUGUAAUUUAUUACCUCUAAUUGGUCAGCAUCAUGGCUAACCAAAAAUGCAUCGGCACCCAAACAUUCUAAAGCUUCAGUUUUUUUGCUUGGUGAUGUACUAAUUACCGUGACUUGAGCACCCAUUGCUUUAGCAAAUUUAACAGCUAAAUGACCGAGACCACCAAGGCCUACAAUACCUACAUGUUUACCAACUUUCCCCAGUCCAAAAUAUUUUAAUGGACUGUACACUGUAAUUCCAGCACAAAGUAAAGGAGGAAGAGAAUCAAGUGGUACAUUGUUAGGAAUUCGAAGGAUGUAAUGUUCAUUAACAACUACAUGAUCAGAAAAACCUCCAUAAGUGAUUUUGCCAUCCAGGUGAAUGGAAUUGUAGGUGAAUAUCAUUUCGGGACAAUAAUUUUCAAGGUCAUUGACACAAUUCUCACAAGAGUGGCAUGCACCAACAAUACAGCCAACACCGACUUUAUCACCAAUUUUGACCUUCUUC
rnacentral:lncRNA from 1 species